rnacentral:rRNA from 1 species
UNAGNCGCUGGCGGCAGGCCUAACACAUGCAAGUCGAGGGAGAAGCUGACUUCGGUCAGUGGGCACCGGCGCACGGGUGAGUAACGCGUGGGAACCUACCCAGGGGUGGGGGAUAACCGCUGGAAACGGCGGCUAAUACCGCAUACGCCUUUUUGAGGGAAAGAUUUAUCGCCCUUGGAUGGGCCCGCGUUGGAUUGGGUAGUUGGUGGGGUAAAGGCCUACCAAGCCUACGAUCUAUAGCUGGUCUGAGAGGAUGAUUCAGCCACACUGGGACUGAGACAC